rnacentral:rRNA from 1 species
UACAGAGGUCCCAAGCGUUGUUCGGAUUUACUGGGCGUAAAGGGUGCGUAGGCGGUCGGGUAAGUCUGAUGUGAAAUCUCUGGGCUCAACCCAGAAAUGGCAUUGGAUACUAUUCGGCUGGAGAGUUGGAGGGGGGACUGGAAUACUUGGUGUAGCAGUGAAAUGCGUAGAUAUCAAGUGGAACACCAGUGGCGAAGGCGAGUCCCUGGACAACUUCUGACGCUGAGGCACGAAAGCUAGGGGAGCAAACAGG